rnacentral:rRNA from 1 species
AGAGUUUGAUCAUGGCUCAGGACGAACGCUGGCGGCGUGCCUAACACAUGCAAGUCGAACGCUGUCCAUUCGGUGGCAACACUGAUGAAGACGGAGUGGCGAACGGGUGAGUAGCACGUGAGCAACCUGCCCCGAAGACCGGGACAACACCGGGAAACCGGUGCUAAUACCGGAUGCCCCCACCGGGCCGCAUGACCUGGUGAGGAAAUGGAUUCCGCUUCGGGAGGGGCUCGCGGCCUAUCAGCUAGUUGGUGGGGUAACGGCCUACCAAGGCGUCGACGGGUAGCUGGUCUGAGAGGACGAUCAGCCACACUGGGACUGAGACACGGCCCAGACUCCUACGGGAGGCAGCAGUGGGGAAUCUUGCGCAAUGGGCGAAAGCCUGACGCAGCAACGCCGCGUGAGGGACGAAGGCUUUCUGAGUUGUAAACCUCUUUCAGCAGGAACGAUAGUGACGGUACCUGCAGAAGAAGCACCGGCCAACUACGUGCCAGCAGCCGCGGUGAUACGUAGGGUGCAAGCGUUGUCCGGAUUUAUUGGGCGUAAAGAGCUCGUAGGCGGUUUGAUAAGUCGGAUGUGAAACCCCCAGGCUUAACCUGGGGCCGCCAUUCGAUACUGUCAUGGCUAGAGUCCGGUAGGGGACCAUGGAAUUCCUGGUGUAGCGGUGAAAUGCGCAGAUAUCAGGAGGAACACCAGUGGCGAAGGCGGUGGUCUGGGCCGGUACUGACGCUGAGGAGCGAAAGCGUGGGGAGCGAACAGGAUUAGAUACCCCAGUAGUCC